GACGAACCGUGCGAACGUUGUUCGGAAUCACUGGGCUUAAAGGGCGCGUAGGCGGAUUGCCAAGUCAGGGGUGAAAUCUCUCAGCCCAACUGGGAAAUUGCUUUUGAUACUGGCAGUCUCGAGUGAGGUAGGGGCAUGUGGAACUCUCGGUGGAGCGGUGAAAUGUGUUGAUAUCGGGAGGAACUCCGGUGGCGAAAGCGACGUGCUGGACCUCAACUGACGCUGAGGCGCGAAAGCUAGGGGAGCAAACGGG
rnacentral:rRNA from 1 species